UGUUCUAAAUAAACAAUAAUGAUCAUUCCUGUACGCUGUUUUACCUGUGGAAAGGUCAUCGGCAACAAGUGGGAGGCCUACUUAGCCUUGCUGCAGGUUGAAUACACAGAGGGAGAUGCUCUUGAUGCACUGGGCUUGAAGCGAUACUGCUGUCGGAGAAUGCUGUUAUCACAUGUGGAUUUGAUUGAAAAACUUCUGAACUAUGCACCCUUGGAAAAAUCAUGAACAGUGCAGGUUUUCAGUGCUGAGAUGUUGCAUUAACAUUGAAAAAAAUGAGGUGGUGAACAUGUACAUUAAAAACAACAUUAACAUUGAUGUACUGUUACUUGUGGACCUCAAUUGUUGUUGUCCAGUACUGCAUUAUGUUUAAUGUGAAAACCAAAUUGUUGGGAAUAUUGUUGCAUUUGAUGCAGUGAUAUAUUUCAAACUUGAUGUACAUGUAGCUUUUAUCCACUUUCACUUUUUCAGUAAUUGUUGGUUGCCUCUGUUUUUUUGUAAAGAUGGUCACUUUAAAUGUGUUUUUUUUCUUUUCUUUAUAUUCUUGAAUGAAAGCAAUAUUUUUUAAUAACAGUUAAGAAUUGUUCCAAUAUUGUAUAUAAAACAGUACCUAUAAAGUACAAUUUUUAUAUUUUUUUAGAUCAGGAUUCUGCUGUCAGAGUUUGGAGUUGUAUGUAAUAAAUGGUUAUAUCUUUGA